GGGGCUAUAGCUCAGUUGGUAGAGCGCUUGCAUGGCAUGCAAGAGGUCUGGGGUUCGAAUCCCCAUAGCUCCACCA
rnacentral:tRNA from 1 species